AGCAGCCGCGGUAAUUCCAGCUCCAAUAGCGUAUAUUAAAGUUGUUGCAGUUAAAAAGCUCGUAGUUGAAUUUCGGGAUCAAUAUGUCGGUCGUGCCUUCGGUACGUACUGGCAUCAUUGGUUUCUCCCUUCUGACAAACCAUGAUGUCAUUAAUUUGGUGUUAUGGGGAGUUAGGACUGUUACUUUGAAAAAAUUAGAGUGUUUAAAGCAGGCAUUAGCUUGAAUACAUUAGCAUGGAAUAAUGAAAUAGGACGUUCGACCCUAUUUUGUUGGUUUCUAGGAUCGACGUAAUGAUUAAUAGGGAUAGUUGGGGGCAUUAGUAUUCAAUUGUCAGAGGUGAAAUUCUUGGAUUUAUUGAAGACUAACUACUGCGAAAGCAUUUGCCAAGGAUGUUUUCAUUAAUCAAGAACGAAAGUUAGGGGAUCGAAGACGAUCAGAUACCGUCGUAGUCUUAACCAUAAAACUAUGCCGACUUAGGGAUCGGAACGUGUAGUUAGUUUUUAAUUUUUAAGACGUACU
rnacentral:rRNA from 1 species